rnacentral:rRNA from 1 species
AUUGAACUCUGGCGGCAGGCCUAACACAUGCAAGUCGAGCGAGCGGCGGACGGGUGAGUAAUGUCUGGGAACAUGCCUGAUGGAGGGGGAUAACCACCGGAAACGGUAGCUAAAAUCGCCUACACUCACAUGUGCCCCGAUGUGAUCAGCUAGUAGAUAGGGUAACGACUCACCUAGGUGACGACCCCUAUCUGGUCUGAGAGGAGUAUCAGCCACACUGGAACUGAGACACGGUCCAAACUCCUACGGGAGCCACCAGAGUGGAAUAUUGCACAAUGAGCGCAAGCCUAAUGCAGCCAUGCCGAGUGUGUGAAGAAGGCCUUCGGGUUGAAAAGCACUUUCAGCAGGGAGGCGUUACCCGCAGAAGAAGCACCGGCUAACUCCGUAGCAGCAGCCGCGGUAAUUC